GACGAACGCUGGCGGCGCGCUUAACACAUGCAAGUCGAACGGGAUCCGGGCUUUCGGGUUUGGUGAGAGUGGCGAACGGGUGAGUAACACGUGAGUAACCUGCCCCCUUCUUUGGGAUAACGUCGGGAAAUCGGCGCUAAUACUGGAUAUUCUUGCUGCAUCGCAUGGUGUGGUUUGGAAAGGGUUUCUGGUGGGGGAUGGGCUCGCGGCCUAUCAGCUUGUUGGUGGGGUGAUGGCCUACCAAGGCUUUGACGGGUAGCCGGCCUGAGAGGGUGUCCGGCCACACUGGGACUGAGACACGGCCCAGACUCCUACGGGAGGCAGCAGUGGGGAAUAUUGCACAAUGGGCGCAAGCCUGAUGCAGCGACGCCGCGUGAGGGAUGACGGCCUUCGGGUUGUAAACCUCUUUCAGUAUGGAACAAGGAUCCUUCUUUUGGGGGGUUUGAGGGUACGUGCAGAAGAAGCGCCGGCUAACUACGUG
rnacentral:rRNA from 1 species